rnacentral:rRNA from 1 species
AAAGUCUGACCGAGCAACGCCGCGUGAGUGAAGAAGGUUUUCGGAUCGUAAAGCUCUGUUGUAAGUCAAGAACGUGUGUGAGAGUGGAAAGUUCACACAGUGACGGUAGCUUACCAGAAAGGGACGGCUAACUACGUGCCAGCAGCCGCGGUAAUACGUAGGUCCCGAGCGUUGUCCGGAUUUAUUGGGCGUAAAGGGAGCGCAGGCGGUCAGGAAAGUCUGGAGUAAAAGGCUAUGGCUCAACCAUAGUGUGCUCUGGAAACUGUCUGACUUGAGUGCAGAAGGGGAGAGUGGAAUUCCAUGUGUAGCGGUGAAAUGCGUAGAUAUAUGGAGGAACACCAGUGGCGAAAGCGGCUCUCUGGUCUGUCACUGACGCUGAGGCUCGAAAGCGUGGGUAGCGAACAGGAUUAGAUACCCUGGUAGUCCACGCCGUAAACGAUGAGUGCUAGGUGUUAGGCCCUUUCCGGGGCUUAGUGCCGGAGCUAACGCAAUAAGCACUCCGCCUGGGGAGUACGACCGCAAGGUUGAAACUCAAAGGAAUUGACGGGGGCCCGCACAAGCGGUGGAGCAUGUGGUUUAAUUCGAAGCAACGCGAAGAACCGUUACCAGGUCUUGACAUCCC